rnacentral:antisense_RNA from 1 species
CGACAACGCUCUUGCGUCAUAGGCAAACAUACCAAGCCCCGUGCGUGAGUAACCAUAAAGUUUAUGGCUUCCGGCGUCACAUGCUCUGCCGCCAUAAU